GCUUGAAAAAGGCCCAACAGUUUAUCUCUUAUAACAGAAGGGAGCCCAGAACUAAUAUCUGUUUGACUUGAAGGGCAGUUUUCUUCCUAUUACAUCUUUGGCUUGCACUUUGAUGCCUGAAACACAUUCCUACUCAACAAGUGAGAGUUAAGUGAAUAGACAAGAAAGACUUUCGACACCCACACUGUCCAUCAAACAUGUUCUCUUUCUUACUAUUUGAAAAAGAUUCUCACUGAACCUCAAGCUCACCAUUUCAGUUAAACUGGCUGGCCAGUAGCCUUCUGGGAUGCUCCCUUCACCCCACCUCCCACUGGAUGCAUAGAUCCAUGGUGCCACACCCAGUUUUUAUCAAGGAUUUGAGGCUGUGAAAAUGACUUCCUGGGAAAGAACAUUUCCAGGUGGAAGAAGUUUUAAGAGUAUAAGUAAUAGGUGUCGAGAAACUCAACUAAAAGAAAAUUAGGGGUAGAAAUGGCACCCUUCCUGCUUUGUUCCAUACUGAGAAUGGUGUAUAACAGCCAUCCUUUGGGUCUCAAAUGAGUGAGCUUAUUCAGCAAGCAAACGCAAGAGGACAGAGCAUCAUAAGAUCGGCUGGUUACAACAUCCAGCAGAGACCACCGGGGGAGCUGGAUUGAGAGCAAGCAACAGUAAGAUCAUCAAACCAGGGGCUUGCAAACAAAGGGAACCACGGAAGCCCUACUCAGUCAUGCUGCUGUUCCUGAUUUGGAUCUCAAGCAGAUCUCAGCAUUCAUCCAUGGAUGAACUUCCAGCUUCCCGUUCCUACAGCAGGAACUUUUAUACCAGGGAAUAAACAAUAAAAUUUCAAUUGGAAAUC